rnacentral:rRNA from 1 species
UACGUAGGGUGCAAGCGUUGUCCGGAAUUAUUGGGCGUAAAGAGCUCGUAGGCGGUUUGUCGCGUCUGCUGUGAAAACCCGAGGCUCAACCUCGGGCCUGCAGUGGGUACGGGCAGACUAGAGUGCGGUAGGGGAGAUUGGAAUUCCUGGUGUAGCGGUGGAAUGCGCAGAUAUCAGGAGGAACACCUAUGGCGAAGGCAGAUCGCUGGGCCGUAACUGACGCUGAGGAGCGAAAGCAUGGGGAGCGAACAGG